rnacentral:tRNA from 1 species
GUCGGCCUGGAGCAAUGGCUCCUACGCUGUCGCCGUAGCCGUGGCCCGACGGGGUGUGCCUGCGGGAUCCAGUCCAGUGGCCGGCAC